rnacentral:rRNA from 1 species
AACGAACGCUGGCGGCGUGCCUAACACAUGCAAGUCGAACGGAGAUAAGAAGCUUGCUUCUUAUUUUAGUGGCGCACGGGUGAGUAACGCGUGGAUAAUCUACCUGAUGCUCUGGGAUAACAUCUCGAAAGGGGUGCUAAUACCGGAUAAGCCCACGAUCUCUUCGGAGAAUGCGGGAAAAGGAGGGGACCUUCGGGCCUUCCGACGUCAGAUGAGUCCGCGUCCCAUUAGCUAGUUGGCGGGGUAAUGGCCCACCAAGGCUACGAUGGGUAGCUGGGCUGAGAGGAUGGUCAGCCACACUGGAACUGAGACACGGUCCAGACUCCUACGGGAGGCAGCAGUGGGGAAUUUUGCGCAAUGGGGGAAACCCUGACGCAGCAACGCCGCGUGAGUGAUGAAGGCUUUCGGGUCGUAAAGCUCUGUCAGAAGGGAAGGAAUGUAGGUGGCUAAUAUCCAUUCUACUUGACGGUACCUUCAAAGGAAGCACCAGCUAACUCCGUGCCAGCCGCCGCCGUAACAC